CACGCCGUAAACGAUGAGUACUAGGUGUAGGAGGUAUCGACCCCUUCUGUGCCGCAGUAAACACAAUAAGUACUCCGCCUGGGGAGUACGACCGCAAGGUUGAAACUCAAAGGAAUUGACGGGGGCCCGCACAAGCGGUGGAGCAUGUGGUUUAAUUCGAAGCAACGCGAAGAACCUUACCAGGUCUUGACAUCCCGAUGACCGCUCUAGAGAUAGAGUUUUCCCUUCGGGGACAUUGGUGACAGGUGG
rnacentral:rRNA from 1 species